rnacentral:tRNA from 1 species
CGGGGCGUAGCUCAGUUUGGCUAGAGCACUACCUUGGGGUGGUAGGGGUCGCUGGUUCGAGUCCAGUCGCUCCGACCA